AUAUGCCGCCAGUUGUGCCGCCUGGCCGUCAAGUGUUUCAACGCAUGCGUGAUACAAAUAGUGUAGGGAAAAGUCAAGUUUUCUACUACCUAUUUAUGCGCAUAUCGGAUCGUGCAGGCAGCACAGAUUGCGUACCGACAAACACUACUUGGUGGA